UACGUAGGGUGCAAGCGUUGUCCGGAAUUAUUGGGCGUAAAGAGCUCGUAGGCGGUCUGUCACGUCGGCUGUGAAAUCCCGAGGCUCAACCUCGGGUCUGCAGUCGAUACGGGCAAACUAGAGUAUUGCAGGGGAGACUGGAAUUCCUGGUGUAGCGGUGAAAUGCGCAGAUAUCAGGAGGAACACCGGUGGCGAAGGCGGGUCUCUGGGCAAUAACUGACGCUGAGAAGCGAAAGCAUGGGGAGCGAACAGG
rnacentral:rRNA from 1 species